CCUUAGAGACCAACUAAGUUUGUUAUUGGUAUAAGCUUUCAUGUGCAUUCAUGAAAUCUGAAGAAGUGUGCAUGCACACGAAAGCUUAUACCAAGAACAAACUUAGUUGGUCUCUAAGG